GACGAACGCUGGCGGCGUGCUUAACACAUGCAAGUCGAACGGAAAGGCCCUGCUUUUGUGGGGUGCUCGAGUGGCGAACGGGUGAGUAACACGUGAGUAACCUGCCCUUGACUUUGGGAUAACUUCAGGAAACUGGGGCUAAUACCGGAUAGGAGCUCCUGCUGCAUGGUGGGGGUUGGAAAGUUUCGGCGGUUGGGGAUGGACUCGCGGCUUAUCAGCUUGUUGGUGGGGUAGUGGCUUACCAAGGCUUUGACGGGUAGCCGGCCUGAGAGGGUGACCGGCCACAUUGGGACUGAGAUACGGCCCAGACGCCUACGGGAGGCAGCAGUGGGGAAUAUUGCACAAUGGGCGGAAGCCUGAUGCAGCAACGCCGCGUGCGGGAUGACGGCCUUCGGGUUGUAAACCGAUUUCGCCUGUGACGAAGAGUGAGUGACGGUAAUGGGUAAAGAAGCACCGGCUAACUACGUG
rnacentral:rRNA from 1 species